GCACCGAUACGUUUCUGUAUUUUGUUCAACAGAAAUUUUCGUAAAAUCGAAUUUCGUUCGAUCGUGAAUAUAUGUAUUUUUUCUUUUUUCCAUUUUUUUUUUUCGAUUGUUCUUCUAUAACAGAGAUAGUUUCGUACAGAUGAAUGUUCCGCUUUAAAGUUAAACUGGUCGUGAAGCUGGUCGGUACAGGAUAAACUGGCACGUAUGAAUUUAAAUACAUUUUCAUGCUACGCUUUUUUUUUUAUCCGCUGCACAGUUUCGGUUGUAAAAGGAUUCUUGUUAGCGAUGUUACGCGCAGGAGGAUGAAAGUAAAUUUAAAACUAACAAAGAACUCUUCUAAUAAAGUAAUUAUAUACAUGCAUUAAUCCUUGUACUUUUUGAACUUUUCCAUUCGUGUCCUCAUUUUUUUGAAAUAUUUUUUGACCCUAAAAAUUCUCUCUCUUUUUUUGAAAUUGCUUUUUAUCCUUUAAAAUCAUUAUCAAAAAAAAAAGAAAAAUCAAAAUUGAAAUCAUUCGAUCUUUAAAUCUUUGAAUCUUUUGCAUCGAAAAAGAUCAAAUAUCUUCCAUAACGAGAUACUUUGCGUGUAAUCGUUUUCAGUUGCAGAACUUUGUCUCUUAGUCGGUGUAAAGGGAUUACACGAGAGAUCAGAAUACUUUGCAAAUCGCCGCUUUGUUGGUUCACGAGACAACGCAGCCCGCGCGAAAAAGGAUCCCCACGGUCACGUAUACAACUCGGCAGUUCACGAUUCCUAUUAAAUAAACUGCAAACUCGUGUGCAGCCUGCAUUUAAGCGAACGAACGCGUCGUUGGCUGCCUGUUUUGUCUCUGUAAUGGUGCAACGAUGCUUUUGUACGCAUGCAAGAACGAGCACCAUUUUCAAUUCCUCUUCUAUCUUUCACCAAUCCAGAAUCUAGUUUCACUUAUGGAUUUUAUAGAAAGAUUCGAACGGAAACACAAAGAGAAAAGACAUGAAGUAAAUGGCAUCGAAAGAGUGAAAAUGGAAGAUGAAAUCAGUUGUGACGAUCCACAGUUUAUGACUAUGUUGGAAACCUGUCUACUCAUGGAGAUCGAAACAUCCAAGAACACGUUUUCUGAACUUGUAAGACAGAUAAAAGACUUCAAAGUUAAAGUAAAGAUGCAGUUGCAAACGAGGAAAGAAUUGAAAGAAAACACAAAGAAUACCCAAGAAAAUAUUUUAAUUUUAAGCAAUUCUCUGAGCAAGUAUGUAAAAAAUAAUAAUUUUUAUAAAAUAUAUCAAUUACAUUAUAUAAUAUUUGCAAAUAUGAUAUUUGAAACUAUCUUUAAUAGAGAAAGAAACUAUAUGAUUGAAAUUUCUAAUAAAAUCGAGCUAAUGAAGCUUAAUUUGGAUAACGAUUAUAAAAUUAUGAAAGUGGAUUGUGAAUUUUAUGAAAAUAUAUACAACAAUUACGAAAAAGUGUGGGAAUCGUAUCACGCAAAAUACGAAGAGUUCCCCUUGGCUAAGGACAGAAGAGAGGCGAAAAUAAAAAUGGAAAAGCUUCAAAUCGAUCAGAUGGUCCUGCAAUACAAAGUUAACGAAUUCGAGAAGAUUUUGAAGCAAAAGCAGCGGAUCGCGUGGCUCAGAAUGCGCGCGAAAAUCAUCGUGCUUGCGCGUGCAAUUUCAAAUUAUACAAGACUGGUCGAAACAUUGAAAGAUCUUGAUAGAAAUGUCGACAAACGCAAGGAAGAGUUGAACACGAUUGAAACGGAGCUAGCCAUACAAUUGAAGAAACAAGAGGAAGAAAAGAGGGAUCGAGCGUUGAAACUGCUGGAAAUGCCACCGCCAAAGAUUAAUUUCUCCCACAUGCGCACGAUUUACGGUCCUAGGCCGGGAAUCGGCUUCCCAGACGGUUGGAAAAGAAAUUAUGAGAAUUCCAUAGAUACUCUAUCGGUGGACACCCUGAUGUUGGAAGAAAUGUGCUUAACCGAAGAGAAUUCCAUACAACCACCAUCCUGUAUUGAAGUUCAAGCCCAAAAUGAUCGGAAUCUUUCUUAUGAGCAACCGAUCGAUUCAAGAAGUUCUUCCCCGGAUCAAGAGCAGCAAGAAAUGGAGAACGAAGAUGUGGCCAGCGAAGUGGAUGGAAAUAUAGACUCAGAACCGAUCGAUGCAGUCGAGGAGGAAAUGGAACAACAAAUGAGUCAGGAACUGGAGCACGUAGACCAGUCAUCUGGUCUUUCCAAAGAUAAGCAAACGGACCAACGUUGCAAAGAUCUUGAAAAGGAGAGGGAUGAACCGGUGGCAAAGAAAAUGAAGUUGAUUUCGAGCGCAGAGAAACCGAUGGCAUCACCAAUGAAGGGUAUUCUAUUAGAGAGGACAAAGAGCUGUUCGGUCGAACCAUCUCCUCCACGUCCAAGAAUCUCGAGAAUCGAGACAAUUCAUUACAGUGUGCCUUCAAUUAAAAAAAUUGAAAAAUUCAUUCCAAGAGAAAUUCAAAUUCCAUUGAUGAAUCAAUCUCCUGGAUCAAUAAUAACGAAGAUGUCUUCUAUGCGGAAACUCGACCAGAAUAAUCCUAAUCCUUCCAGUAUGUUUACUCCUGGUCACUAUGAUUAUUCUAAUAAUAGUGAAAUAAGUUUUUGUAUCGAUGACAAUAUGACCGAAUUGAAAGCUGAUCAAAUAUCGCUCUAUGGUGGAUCUGUUCGAAAUUUUUGCGAGUGUCCCAAUUUAUCACCAAUCAAUGAAAAUUUAAAUCUAGAGGACAACGAAAACGUUCCAUCGACUAGCAAGACUCGCAAUUUUUCACAAUUUGAGAAAAAGUUCGACUUUAGUAAUAUUUUGAAAGGCAGUUCCAGCGGAAAAAAUCUUUUCUAAAUUUCAAUCUUAUCGAAGAGGAUCGAUAAUUAUUUAAGAGUCGUGUAUUUCUUGUAAAAUCUCAUUUCGAUGAAAUAAAAUCACGUGAAGUGAGAACAAAUGAGAUAAUUUCUCUCUUGGAAUGGUAAUAAGACUGGUUCAUUUUUCGUCUAGAGUGAAUAAUAUUCGAGCGAAAUUACGCGUAGUCGUAAUUUUCACUCUCGACAGUCGGUGGAAAGCGACGGUUCCAUCCUAAGAAGCCGGGAAAAGGAAACGUGAAAGACAUAGACGGGGGUAGAAAAGAGGCACACGCCAGGCUGGAGAGGGAGAAAGGAAGAGCACUCGGCUCGACGACUGAAAAAGUCAAACCUGUUUUUCUUUCCGGUUCGAAGUUCCGGUUCCACGAUUACGUGACUGGAAUCUGGCCUUGCCAUUGGCACGUCAUUCUUUCCCAGUCGCUGGAACCGGAAGUUCUUCAACUUGGAUUACUCGCGAAAUCCCUCCAACUCGCUACAGCUUCAUCGAAUCCAGUGAGUACACAUCGACUUCACUGUUUUACCAGCAGCUCCUUUGUUCUUUUUUUCCUUCAUCAUCAUCAUCGAUGGACAUAAAAAGAGUGCGGAAUAACGUCUGAAUCAGCAUAUAACAUUCUAUAAUCUUGGAUACGGCGUAUCCAUAUAUUUCGUAUCUUUCGUUACGAACUUUCGUUUGGACGGUUGGAGGGGAGCAAGAAGUUUGCGGAGAAAGGAGAGGAAAGGCGCGAGGAAAAAUAUUUGCCUGUUUGUUCGAUGUAGAAGGAAGGAAAACAGAGAAAUUAACGACACGAGUUUCUAUCCAACCUUUUCAUCGAUUUACUUUUUUAAAAGUAGUAGUUGGAUAGUGAUCAUGGAAGAAACGUCUCGUUCUUUUUUCGUUAGAUAUCGAAGAAACAAUGGAACAUGAAUG